ensembl:lncRNA
AAAUCGUCUCAGGUAACCAGAUCCGCGGGGGUCGGACUUAACGCGACGCCAUGCCAGGGGCCGGGGCCAGCGCCAAGUGGGAGGGGCUUAUCUGAGGGUAUCCAAUGCCUAUUGGCUGUCCGGAAUAUGUGUUACCAUAAGAAAAGGUGCAAGACCUCAUGAUGCAUGGGCCGCUUAUGCAUGCAGGUCAGUGUGUGUGUGUGUGUGUGUGUGUGUGUGUGUGUGAUGAUUGUCUGUGAGCUGUGACCUUUGACCUCAGAUACCCAAAUCUUCUAUUGAUUUAAUAAUCAAGGAAAUGUUUAUUUAUUCACAAUAAGAAUAAUGGGCUCUGCCUCGUCCAGCGGACAGAUCGAUGCAAAGGUUAAAAAGUCUGUAGAGUUCAAAGGUCAGCAGUGUCUUAUUCUCUUUUUUUUUUAUUUAAACCGUGACCAAAACCGAGGCGUCGGUUCAUUGCCUCGUAAAGCAGUUUCAGGACACGUGUGCGUGCUUGUGUUUGUGCGUGCGUGUGUGUCUGUCACACACUGAAUGUCUUUGGAGCUGCUGCUUCCUCGUGAGGAAGUCGACUCGCUGGCUGUCUGACGGUGGUUGAACGCCCAGCGAAGCGUGGAGAGAGGGAGAGAAGAGGAGUAGACGAAGAAAGACGUGAAGUAAGCAAACCACAGAUGACCUCAAAAACGCCAAAAUACCUCAGAGACUUUUCUUCCUCCGAACCGAGAGGAGGAUUUUGUGGGUCUUUUGAGACUGAACUGCCGACAUCAUAAAAGCACCUGGACCGAGUCCUCGGUCCAGGUGUCCUUCCCUCCUUUGCCUGCUGUUCCCUUGCGUGUCCUUUAUUCUUCUUAAAAUAGUUUGCGUUUCUCUUCUGUCUCCUUUCCUUUGUGCCCUCUCUCCUCAUUCCUUCCCUCCUCCAUCUUUCCCUUGUGUGCGUUUGUCUACUGACCCCGUGUCUUGUUUCCUUCACACUUGCUCUUGUGCUCCAGCUUCAUCAAACCCUUUGUCUUCACUCCGUCCGUCUGUCUCAUUGUCCUUCAGUGGGACCAGGAUGUUUUGUAUAAAUACAUUUAAAAUAUGUCAAAUAUUUACCAUUAAUUCAACCAAACAAAUGUGAUACUACUUGCAAUAAUUGUCUGAAGUGAUAUUCUAAAUGUAUUUUUGUAUAUUCAGAUCCAGGUGUUUCCACAUGUUUUCCACAACAAAUGAGUCAUGACGCUGGCGGAAUAGCCACCGACCACGCCGCUAUCGUUAGCAGCAUUCUGAAAACGCUAACAUGCUGGUUUUAGCUAACAUAGCAGAUAUUUCCUCUCGCCAUGUGACGUUAAGCCAUUAGCUUGCGUUGUUAGCAUUGUUAGCAUUGAGUCGGCUAGCAGCUAACCUUGCAAAGAAUUUCCCCCCGGUGAAACCUUCAUAGCACUAAACAUCCGGCAAGCUGAGAAGUUUGGUACUUCAUGUUGUUAAAGCUUUAUUUCAUUCAUUGAUCUAAGGAAACAUAUCAUUAUGUUUAGCAUUCAAGCUAAUGAGCGAGCUUGACGUGACGAUGUGACCUCGUGUACGAGGUGUUUAUUUGCCUCAAGGGUGAGGAUGCAACUACAGGAAGACCUCACCUGUGAAGGAACCACAGAAAACCAAAAGGCUCAGAGUACAUUUAUAUUCCAGUUUGCAGAAAGAAAUACACAAAAUAUAUAUAUAUAUAUAUAUAUAUAUAUAUAUAUAUUACAACAAAAUGAAAAAAAUUAAGAUCUCAGAACGUUUAUUUCUUUGUAAUCCACAUGUGCCGACAUACAGGAAUCUCAGGCAUCUUUGUCUAAAUGCUUCAGUUAUUUAAUGACUCGCUAACAACAUUUCACACGAUGAAGACGUGAUGAUGAUGAUGUUGUGAAAUGUAAAUCUUGUUUCUUAUGUUUCCGAAAAAAUGUGUCAGUAAAUAAGACGAAUCUGAUAAAAACAGUUUUUCACUUUAAGAAACGAGAGUAAACGUGUGAGCGAUGUGUGAUGUUCGAUGCUCUGGGGAUCAGGUUGGGUGGGGACUAACUUGCCUCUAGGUGUGUGUCUCUGUGUAGCCCUGCGAUUGGCUGGCGACCGGUCCAGGGAUGUCCCCCGUCUCUCGCCCAAAGUUGGGCUGGGAUGGACUCCAGCCCCCCGCGACCCCGUGUGCAGGGAUGAGCCGAUUGCAGAUGGAUGGAUGGAUGUUUGAUUUAGUCUCUUAAAUAUACAACUAUGUACGUAGACGAGUAGAUGGGAAGUAAUAAGCUCACACAGG